GUGCGUGUGUGUGUGUGCGCGCGCGCGCGCGCGCGCGCGUGUGUGUGUGUGCGUUUUCGCGGUAGUCAAGAAAAUUAGAACUGUGCAAUAGUGAAACAGGUCGUUCAGUACAGAUUAGAACCGUACACACCUGGGUUGUGCAGGGGGCAGGCGGUUAUGCUGUAAGGGUAAUAACAGAGUCAGAAACCAGGGGCACAGGGAGCUUUUGAAAUGGUCUAUGGCAGAAACUUUGGCAGAUAAAGCUAUUUCUUUAUUUUAUAGAAGUAAUCUUGAAGUGCCGCAUGCUGGCUGGGUGUAUGACUCCAUGGUGGAGCAGUGCCCAGCGUGUGCACUGGAGAACCUGAACUGGCUCGCAGGUCUCUCAUGGCCCUUUCCCAGCGUAGACUCCGCUCAGCCGGCUGCUCUUGUGUCUCUCUUUUCCAUGUUUCCCUGCUCUCUGUGGCGCUCUUAAAUACCAGCCGCUGGUGGGAAGACCCCACCUUGGCUUUUGUUGUCCCGUGAUGUACACCGCCUUUCUGGCCAGUGCACACAUGCAUUAUGAUUGAGCAUAGGUAUAGCAUGUUUUAUAUGGUGAGAUGUACGUAUCACCAUGUCUGUUCACAGACAGGGGAGAAGGGAAGAGGAGGGUGUAAAAGUAAGGGUUUUUUGUGCCCACCCUUGCUCUGAUUAACGACACGGAGGCCGUUAAACUUGCUAAAAGCUUCAGGCACUACAGCUGGGCAGAUUCUGAGCUGUUCUAACACAACAGUGCGGACCUGGCCUACUUCCCAGCCACGAGAUCCAUUGCCUGCUAUCUUGGUCUUAUCUGAGACCCCCCCCCCCCUCUCUCUCUCUCUUGGAGCUGGGGACUGAACCCAGCUAAAUCCCCAACCCUGAGACCUCUCUCUUUAUCUGUGUCCUAAUGGCCAGCUCCCCCUGGCCCCACUGAGACCCUCUGCCUCUCACCGUGCUUGGGAGUCCCACCUUUCCUCUCACCCUUCCCUGUUCUGUUUGUGUGUGGUUCCCUCCCUGCCCCCAGCCCAUAUGUUGCCUUUCUCUUAGGGUCUUGCUUAUGGUGGAAAGCCAGUCAUCUUAGCUUUCCUAUUUACAAACUACACAGCCUGGCAGAAAAUUCCCAGGAUGGGCUGGAGAGGUGGCUCAGCGAUUAGCACACUGGCUGCCCUCACAGAGGACCCAGAUCUGGUUCCCAGCACAUACAUGGUGGCUCAAAGCUAUCUCCAAUCCCAGUGCCUGGGGACACAAUGCUAUCUUUGGGUGGGCUUCCUCUAGCACCGCAUGCACAGAUACACACGCAGAAUCCCAGCACACAGUUAAAAAAUUAAUAACAAUAAAGAAAUUCUCAAUGCCACUGCACAGAGUGUAACCUGUAACACAGAGUAUUUCCCCCCUUUCUCCUUGACCAUUUCUCUUCCCUUUUCUCUCUCUUCUUGCAACUCAAAUUCCUCCUCGCCUUGACUAGGGGCCCGAUUUUGUCAGAAUGCAGCUGGGCUUUUCAACCAGCAGGGGGCGCACUAGGCACGUCUAACGGUUCCCACGUUUGUGGAGUCCCUGGAAUCUCGCUGGAUAGUGCAUUUCUUUGCGUUAUGUCUAGUGAGUAUUAAACUCAUCCAUGAUGCAUUCAAUUUUUGAGUUAUUUAAAACCUACUCUUUUCCUUUAGGAACCGAAUCGGCCAUUGGAUUUAAACUUAAGCGUAGCUGUUUUCAAAGUAGUAGCGCUCUUGAACCAAAAUGUGAACAAUGAUCAGAUGAGAAUGGAUGCCUAAUAAAGCCGUUAACAAGACAUAGUCAGAGUUAGAAUUAGGCGUUAAGGACAGAUCUUAGGAAGCCAGAUAAAUCGCUAAGGAUCCCUGCACUUGGCCUGUAGAACGGGUGACCUAGUUGAGCUGAGACCCCCUAACUGAGCAUGUCAAGGUCGCUGGCUUUCUGUGAUAGCCACAGUGCAGAAUUCCACAGACAAAUAGCUUAGAAUGUUGAAUUCAUUGUCGUUUGGAGCAAGGUCGGAGAGCCUUGGCCCCCCCAAGCUGCCAUUGGCUCACAUGCCUGUGGCUGCAGCGCCCUCGUGUGGUGAAAGGAGCGCAGACACCGGGCCCUUUCCCUUCCAGACAGGCGCAGCACUGGUCACCCUCCAGCGGGAGGUUUGUCACAUGCUUCCCUGCAGUUCCACUGUUUGAACACCAUUUGUCACAUGGUGUGACCUUGGCUUUUACAAAGCUCACAUUGCUCCUGGGCCAACUGAUCGCUUGGAACAUGGCGUGUAUUCCCACCAGAAGCAGUUUCUUGGAGGGUGACUGGGGACUCAGGGCAUCUGUGGAGACCUCCGUAUUGUAGCUCUGGUCAUACUGGGUGGGAGGUGGCAGUUGAUACUGGGCUAUGAAUUGUGCUUUGCUCAAUAAUUCCUAUAGGCCUGAGGGAGGACCUAGUUUGCCUUUGAAUAUGGAGUGGAUCAUGAUGUCAUAGCCAGUUGCAGAAGGGGAGACUAGGUAGUGCUCCCGUCUGCUCUUGCUCUGCCCUCUGCAGAAACUUAAGACCUUCUCAGGCCCCGAGGGAGUCAAAGCCACCAGCUAAUCAGCUCAGGCCUUCCUCAUAUGCACCUCUACACACCCAUCCGGCCUCACCUGGUUGGCGUCAGCUCAUAAGGAACAUAGUUAGGUGUAGAUGCUGUUGCUGGUUUAUGGGGCAUCUGUUGAGAGGCCCAUCUUCAAAUGCCCCCUGAUUCUGGAGACCCAGACCAACGAUUGUACUAUUUAUCAGUGGGUCUCAGCAGGUCAGGCACAAACCUUUAAGAGAUGGACCUCAGAUUUUGUUCUUUCUGAGACAGAGCCUCCACGUAGCCUAGGCUAGCCUUCAACUCACUGUGUAGCCAAGGGUGACCGACUCAUGGAAUUCUUGAAUCUGUGCCCAUAUCCCCCUUGGUCUGAAAUUACAGGCCUGGGACCUCGUGCCAGGCUCCUAAAUCACUUUUUAAUUAAUAAAUAAAUAAUGUAGAUCCGUGUAAGUGUGUGCUGUGUGGUAUUACAUCUGUAGCUAUGGAAUUCAAGGUGCUGUAAAUGUCCUACCCCCAAGGCACGAUACCCUGGCAUCCUGAUGAACUGGAGUUGCAGACACUUGAAAACGCAAAUGCAGGAGGUUGUGCUGAUGCUUGAAUCGGAUUCUCACGUAAUCCAGGCUAGUGUGUCCUUACAGAGACAGGGUCUGGGGCUGGGGGAGCUGUACACACAGAAGCUGAUCUCUCUCUCUCUCUGAUUGGUCGUGGGUUCUCUGUCUUGUCACCCUCUCACUGCCUGCUGUUCCUUGUCAUAUUCAGGGUGUUAGCACUCAACACCAGACAGAAGCUAUGCAGCCUCCUAUAGGAUGUAAUCCCGCGAUCUGUGCAUAUGUGACUAUAUGUGUACAACCAGCCCUUCAUAGACAGACUCCAGACAAAACAUGAUUUGAUGUCUGGGGAGAAUAAUCAGUGGUUAAAAGCGUUGGUUGUGUAAUCAUUAGGACAUCUGUGCAGCAAGGCUGGCCUCUCACAAACACCUGUAACUGUGCUCUGCGGGCUCUGAAGCCCUCUUCUGGUGUCUGUAUGUAAAUGCAGGGACCGCACCCCAGCCACCCACAUGUGUACACACACACACACACACACACACACACACACACCACACACCACACCAUACACAUACACAUACACACACACACCACACCACACCACACACAUACACACACACCACACACCACACACCACACACACACACACACACACCACACACCACACACCACACACCACACCAUACACAUACACACACACCACACCACACCACACACAUACACACACACACACACCACACACACACACACCACACACCACACCACACCAUACACAUACACACACACACCACACCACACACAUACACACACCACACACCACACCACACCACACCACACACACACACACCACACACCACACACCACACCACACACAUCAUUCACACACACACCACACCACACACCACACCAUACACAUACACAUACACACACACACCACACCACACCACACACAUACACACACACCACACACCACACACCACACACACACACACACACACACCACACACCACACACCACACACCACACCAUACACAUACACACACACCACACCACACCACACACAUACACACACACACACACACCACACACACCACACACCACACCACACCAUACACAUACACACACACACCACACCACACACAUACACACACCACACACCACACCACACCACACCACACACACACACACCACACACCACACACCACACCACACACAUCAUUCACACACACACCACACCACACACAUACACACACACCACACACCACACACACACACAUACACCACACACCACACCACACACAUUCACACACACACCACACCACACACAUACACACACACACCACACCACACCACACACACACACACCACACACCACACACACACACACACACCACACACCACACCACACACAUACACACACACCACACACACACACACACACCACAUCAUACACAUACACACACACACCACACCACACACAUACACACACACACACCACACACACACACACACACACACUAUGUCUUUUUUAAAAAAUGUUUUUAAAUUUGGGGGGAGACGUCAGUACUGAACUAUACGCCUCUUGGGUAUUAUUUUCUGAAGGAAACAGUGUAACUUUACUGACUGUUUACAUUCCGUUUUGUGACAUAGAAGAACUAGAGAUGACCUCAGGUAUGUAGGGAUGUAUGCGCAGAUGAGGAGACAGUGCCACGCCAUUUCAUUUAUGAGGAUUCGGGAUUCUGGAGGGGGUGCUGGAAACAAUCCCCCUUUGGACACCAGGACGCUGAAAUGUAUUCAAGUGACUGUGUUUGUAAGCCAUAUGCAGUGUUAUGACGCAGUAUGUUUUAUGCGUGUGCACACGUAUGUGUGUUUAUGUUUUGUAUGUGUAUGUGUGUUUGCAUGUGUUUCUUUUUUUUUUUUUUUUUUUUUUGGUUCUUUUUUUUCAGAGCUGGGGACCGAACCCAGGGCCUUGCGCUUCCUAGGCAAGCGCUCUACCACUGAGCUAAAUCCCCAACCCCUAUGUGUUUCUUUUUUAAAGCUAUUUUUACUUCUCCAUAUAUGUGUGAGCCUGUUCUAGUGUCUGUGCACCGUGUGUGUGUGUGCAGUGCCCGUGGGAGCCAGGAGGACAGUAUCAGUCCCCUGGAACAGGAGUUGUGGCUACCAUGAGGGUGCCGGGGAGUGAAGCCAGGUUCCCUGCAAAAACAGCAACUGCCCUUAACCACUGAGCCAUCUGCAGCCCUGGUGCAGGUGUUCGUGUGUAUUGAUGUGUGUAAUGUUUGUAUAUGUGUGCAUUUGUCUGUAUUCGUAUCUGUAUUUGCACUUAUGUGCCUACACGUUUGUGUGUAUGAGUUUGUAUGUAAACAUGUGUUGGUGUGUAUUCACAUAUACAUGCAUGUGUAUGUGUUGUUGUGUACAUAUCUUUGUAUAUUUGUGUGUGUGUGAGUGUACAAGUAUCUGUGUACACGGAACUGUAUGUUUGUGAAGUCUAUGUCAGAUGUGUGGGUAUAUUAAAAGUAUCGGGGGACUGAAAGCUUUGCUUACAUAGUAAAAGAUUUUGAGACCUCGGCAUCCUGCUUCCUCCUGGCGUGACUUAAAGUUUUACAGUGUGCUUGCUGCACGACUGUCUCUUGGGGAAAAUGGGAAUUGUAAUAGCAGCUCCCUUCAAGUCACGAGGACUAAUUAGAGACCAGUGUUCACGAGUGGAAAGGCAAGGGACUGUCUGUGGCGUGCAGUGCCUGUCUCCUUUUCACUUGUAUCCUGUGGGGAUUGUGCUUGACUAUAUGCUGACUUCAGCCGGCCUCUGCUGCCCUGAACCGGCGCUUCUCAACCUUCCUAGUGCUGCGACCCUUUAGAGCAGGUCCUCAUGUCCUGGUGACUCCCAACCAUGAAGUUAUUUUUGUUGCUAGUUUUGUUCUAGUAAGUAUGGUUGCCACUGUUGUGAAUUGCAAUGUAAAUACUCUUGGUUUGCCAAAGGGGUCAUGUCCCACAGAUUGAGAAAUACUGAGCUAAACCUUAGGCGAGUGUGGACUUGUCUCAAUAGCUGCAGGUUUCUCGUUGUGUAGUCAGAAAGCAGUCUGAUGGGUCUGCUGGGCUCGUUCUUGCUGACCUGGAAGAAUCACUGAGCGAGACUGAAUCAAGGGGAAGGUGCCUGGUGCUGGACACCUGGGAUGAGCUCUUGAUUGGUGACGUAGAGAUGAAGAGGGUGUUGAGCUGCCCCAGGUGCGUGUUGACUACAGUGGACCCAGACACCGGCAUCAUAGACAGGAAAGAGCCGCUGGAGACCCUGAAGAGGUA